GCUACCUGGUUGAUCC
rnacentral:rRNA from 1 species